GAGUUUGAUCCUGGCUCAGGAUGAACGCUGGCGGCGUGCUUAACACAUGCAAGUCGAACGAAGCACUUUAUUUGAUUUCCUUCGGGAAUGAUUAUUUUGUGACUGAGUGGCGGACGGGUGAGUAACGCGUGGGUAACCUGCCUUGUACAGGGGGAUAACAGUUGGAAACGGCUGCUAAUACCGCAUAAGCGCACAGCAUCGCAUGAUGCAGUGUGAAAAACUCCGGUGGUAUAAGAUGGACCCGCGUUGGAUUAGCUAGUUGGUGAGGUAAUGGCCCACCAAGGCGACGAUCCAUAGCCGACCUGAGAGGGUGACCGGCCACAUUGGGACUGAGACACGGCCCAAACUCCUACGGGAGGCAGCAGUGGGGAAUAUUGCACAAUGGGGGAAACCCUGACGCAGCGACGCCGCGUGAAGGAAGAAGUAUCUCGGUAUGUAAAGCUCUAUCAGCAGGGAAGAAAAUGACGGUACCUGACUAAGAAGCACCGGCUAAAUACGUGCCAGCCGCCGCGGUAAUAC
rnacentral:rRNA from 1 species